AACGUAGGAGACAAACGUUAUCCGGAGUUACUGGGCGUAAAGGGCGUGUAGGUGGUUUCGUAAGUCUGGCGUGAAAUUUUUCGGCUCAACCGGGGAGGGUCGGCGGGGACUGGUGGACUUGAGGACGGCAGGGGCCGGUGGAAUCCCCGGUGUAGUGGUGAGAUGCGUAGAGAUCGGGGGGAACACCCGUGGCGAAGGCGGCCGGCUGGGCCGGACCUGACGCUGAGGCGCGAAGGCGUGGGGAGCGAACGGG
rnacentral:rRNA from 1 species